GACGAACGCUGGCGGCGUGCUUAACACAUGCAAGUCGAACGGAAAGGCCCUGCUUUUGUGUGGUGCUCGAGUGGCGAACGGGUGAGUAACACGUGAGUAACCUGCUCUUGACUUUGGGAUAACUUCAGGAAACUGGGGCUAAUACCGGAUAGGAGCUCCUGCUGCAUGGUGGGGGUUGGAAAGUUUCGGCGGUUGGGGAUGGACUCGCGGCUUAUCAGCUUGUUGGUGGGGUAGUGGCUUACCAAGGCUUUGACGGGUAGCCGGCCUGAGAGGGUGACCGGCCACAUUGGGACUGAGAUACGGCCCAGACUCCUACGGGAGGCAGCAGUGGGGAAUAUUGCACAAUGGGCGGAAGCCUGAUGCAGCAACGCCGCGUGCGGGAUGACGGCCUUCGGGUUGUAAACCGCUUUCGCCUGUGACGAAGCGUGAGUGACGGUAAUGGGUAAAGAAGCACCGGCUAACUACGUG
rnacentral:rRNA from 1 species